GCUCAGGAUGAACGCUGGCGGCGUGCCUAACACAUGCAAGUCGAGCGAAGCACUUUGCUUAGAUUCUUCGGAUGAAGAGGAUUGUGACUGAGCGGCGGACGGGUGAGUAACGCGUGGGUAACCUGCCUCAUACAGGGGGAUAACAGUUAGAAAUGACUGCUAAUACCGCAUAAGACCACAGCACCGCAUGGUGCGGGGGUAAAAACUCCGGUGGUAUGAGAUGGACCCGCGUCUGAUUAGCUAGUUGGUAAGGUAACGGCUUACCAAGGCGACGAUCAGUAGCCGACCUGAGAGGGUGACCGGCCACAUUGGGACUGAGACACGGCCCAAACUCCUACGGGAGGCAGCAGUA
rnacentral:rRNA from 1 species